UGUGAGGAGGAGUCAAUGCAAAACUCAGAUGUCUUCCACCUCUACUUAUCUGACUGCAGAGAGGAGGACAGAGGACAGUGGACACACAGUUUAACAUGAUGGACUAUAGGACAGGACUGCUGCUUUUAACCAUCUGCUGCUGGACAGGUGUUGAUGGUCAGACUCUGACAGAAUCUGAACCAGUGAGUAAAAGACCUGGAGAAUCCCACAGACUGACCUGUACAGCCUCUGGAUUCACACUCAGCAGCUACGAUAUGAACUGGGUCAGACAGGCUCCUGGAAAAGGACUGGAGUGGAUCGCCUGGAGUCAUUACGGUGGCAGCAGCACAUCCUACUCCCAGUCAGUUCAGGGCCGGUUCACCGUCUCCAGAGACAACAACAGACAGCAGCUGUAUCUGCAGAUGAACAGUCUGAGGACUGAAGACUCUGCUGUUUAUUAUUGUGCUCGAGAGCCACAGUGACUGGAGUUGGUUGAGCAGCUGUACAAAAUCCUACAGGACUCUUUCUGACUGGACUGAUAAACAACAACUACCUCAUAGGAUUAUCAUCUUUGUUUGGGGAUCAAGGAAAUUACUGCAUGUGCUAAUUUAAGAACAAUGUACAGAAUCAGGGGGCCAAGCUGCAGAUUCUGACCGAGAUACAAUGAUUGCUCUAAAACAGUGGAUGUGAUAAGAAGAAAAGAAUAAACCUGAUAUAUAACCAUUAACGGUGGCUGCUGCACCUCUCCAGACUGUACAAUCACACACACCUCCAGCCCAACAGCUUUCAAAUUACUGAUCAGGUUUCACCACUUUGACUCAACAUCUCACUCUAAAGCAAAGAAUCUCUGUCAGUCUGUCCCUCUGUGUUUUAUUAUCUCCAGAACCGUCCAUCCCAUCGAUUUGGUGGGUGUAUUGCUGGAAACCCGAUGGCAUGCAGUGUUGAAUUUGGUACAAUUUGCACACGUUAAACACGAGCGAAUAGCUCAUCAUAAUGAACGUCUUCACUUGAAGUAGUCCCAGAAACUGAUAGGAUACAGUUACACUGAACACUUUGUGAGAACCAGUAAUGUUUGAUUAGAAACACAUUUCUAAACAGAGAUGUGAAUGUAGAAAUCAUAUCACUAAAUAGGCAUAUUCUUGCUUAUUCCAUAACAGAGCUGCAUUAAACA